GCGAAGAACCUUACCUACUCUUGACAUCCAGAGAAUCCUACGGAGACGUGGGAGUGCCUUCGGGAACUCUGAGACAGGUGCUGCAUGGCUGUCGUCAGCUCGUGUUGUGAAAUGUUGGGUUAAGUCCCGCAACGAGCGCAACCCUUAUCCUUGUUUGCCAGCACUUCGGGUGGGAACUCCAGGGAGACUGCCGGUGAUAAACCGGAGGAAGGUGGGGACGACGUCAAGUCAUCAUGGCCCUUACGAGUAGGGCUACACACGUGCUACAAUGGCGCAUWCAGARGGCGGCCAACUUGCGAAAGUGAGCGAAUCCCAAAAAGUKCGUCGUAGUCCGGAUUGGAGUCUGCAACUCGACUCCAUGAAGUCGGAAUC
rnacentral:rRNA from 1 species